AGCUGCACCCUUCAGGGGAGGGUGGUCUCACCUCCUGGCCAGGCAGGCCACCACUGAGAACUCGCCCACAGCCACCGCCUCCCCCUCCCCCACCAGCCCGUCAUGCCUGGUGACCACAAGUCACCCCAGCCCCUGCCUAGAGGCAGCUCAGCCCUUGGGGAACAGCCAGAACUGAGGACCACAGCCCCUGGGGGGGUCCACUGGGGAACGGUGGGGCACCCCCUACACCCCAGAGAAGCUUCCUUCUUUAGGGGCUUUUUCCUUUCAAUACUUUCAGUUUAAGUUUGAAUGUUCAAACCGGUAUUUCCCUAACUGGGGUCUGAGAACCUAAAUUCCAUCCUGAGAUGCUCCAGGAAAGGGGCAAACGAUAAGGCCAGAGCAGGUGGGCAAAGACCGGGGAAGACGCAUUGGGGUUUUGCUCAGGCACCUUUCUCUGGCUGUCACAGGGCACAAAGGAGGUGACCUUGAUUCCUAAAGAGACUGCUUUCAGUCUGCACAGAGUGAGUAUCUCCAAUACCCACCCAGCCUGCGGGGAUGAAAACCAGCAGUAGGGAAGGCUGAGGAGAGGAAAGCGCUCCCAGACUCACCUCCUCCCUCUCUGGGCCCCAAUCCAGACGACUGAGCAGCACCCACGCCAACCUGUCCCCUUUGCUCUGUCACCACUGCUGCCGUCUUCAGUUCAAGCUCCCGCCCUGUCUCAUGCCCAUUUCCGUGCUGCUCAUGUCAUACUGCACACUGCCCAUGAGGCCACCUUUCAAAACCACAGUCCUGACCCUCUCACUUAACGAAGCCCCUGCCUAUAGGACGGAGCCCACCCUGGCAGGGGAGCAGGACCUCUGCCUAGCCCUGCGGUGGAGUCACAGGGAUCACAGCUGCCACCAAGGCCACCCCCUCACUGGCUGUGUGGACACAGGCACUUCUGUGCCCGUUCCCUCAUCGGUGUGACAGAAUAAUAAUUGCCCUCAAGAGCCUCUGGAGUAGGGGGUGGUGAAUCCAAGCAGAGGAGAGCCCGGCUCUCCAAGAACCACCAUGACCCUUGCUGUCCCCAGCCUGGCUCCGGACCCCGUGCUCUUCACUACCUCACCGUGCUCCCCCUUCUUGAUGAAAGAAGAUGAGUAAACUCAGGAGAAAAGAAGGCACAUUCAACAUCAAAAAAAAAAAAAAUUGGAGUUCCUGUUGUGGCGCAGCAGAAAUGAAUCCAAUUAGGAACCAGGAGGUUGCAGGUUUGAUCACUGGCCUCGCUCAGUGGGUUAAGGAUCCAGCUUUGCCAUGAGCUGCAGUGUAGGUCUGGCGUGGCUGUGGUGUAGACGGGCAGCUGCAGCUCUGAUGAGACCCCUAGGCUGGGAACCUCCACAUGCCAUGCGUGCGGCCCUGAAAAGCAAAAAAAAAAAAAAGGUCAUAAACAUAAAAACUAGGCUAGGGAGAUGUGAAAGAAACCAAAAUCAACUAUCACAAUAAUGUGAGAGGAGGAGAAAGGACAGGAAGAGAAGGAAAACAUUACUUUGAAGGAACUGCUCUUAAAACAUACAGCUCUGUGGUUUUUUUUUAGACUUCAUUUUUUUCCCCCAAAGAUUUAGGAAGAUUACAUUUCAAAAGCUCACAAAGGAGACACUUCUGGCUUUUUUUUUUUUAACCAUUUUUUAAUUAAUAUCUUCAGAGAACUAAAAAGUACUUUUAUAGACUGACUGAAUCUUAAUAAAAUUCUCAGAGAAAUUCUGGCAUCAGUCACAACAAAACACCCUCUCGGAAUUUAAUUUCCUUUUUCCGCAUACAACUUACUAUGGAAACUCAUUUAUGAUGCCACCACAACCAGUCAAAAGCUGCCUGGAGCGUGAAAACUUCCAAGCUCCGAGAGAGAGCCUUAUAGGACUGGAGGGAAACUGGCCCCGUACUUAGCCAGAUCCUACAUCUCGCAGAUUGCCACCGCGCCAAACUUUCCAGAUCCUACUGCCAAAUCCAUCUCCUUUCCAGCCCCCAUGUGCCCUGCCCUCCCAUCUGACACUAGAGCUCUCACAGUGCCUCCUACAGCGAGAAAGCUCCAAAUCCAGUAUCUCUCCACUGCCCAACAAAACGAAUAAAAGAGGGGAGAAGGGCACAAAAUGGGCACAAGGAAACUAGCUACGGCCAUCUUCAACCUCCCACCAAAGACCUGUCCUUUCUGGCUUCUGGUUUGGUUCAGUUUCCUCCUUUUAGAUGAUGGCAGGACCUAGACUAUUCACUGCAUGUGUUAGGGGUGGGGUGGGAAGGGAAAAGCUCAAAGAAUUAUUUGUAAGGACUUCAAAACGUACCUUUUUUUUCUUCCAGCAAGCAAGCAAAGGCUUUACCAGGGCUGCUGGGAGGGGGAAGACGAGCAUCCCCUCUCUAUUGCCCUAUAGGGGUUUUUGCCUCUUAAAGCUGGAGGGGGGGGACCAACGUGGGGUCCAGAAAGAUGAGGUUUUCUCCUAUUGGCCUUGCUCAGUUACCUAUAUCAUCCUUGUCCAAUAGGGGUCUUAGGGGCAGAAAUGUCCUGUAAGUCUCAUCAUUUCUUGGCCCUUUUCUCACCAUAAACUGAGUCACAGGCGAUUAGGGACUAACAUCCAUCUGGGUGUCUCCCUACAGUAAACGAGGCCUGUGGGUAUGUUACUCCCUGGAGCCCUUAAGCCGCAAAUGUUAAUCAAUGGCCAUAUCAAAGAAUGCAUCGGAGUCCCUGCUCCUACACUGACGACCUGAGUGAUUGUUCUGCCUCCAUCUCCCCUUCUAGUGUUGGAGAUUCUAACUGCGGUGGGGGGAGGGGGACAACCGCUCUGGCUGCUUCCUGCUGAAAAGGGGCAUCCUUAGGGGAAAGCAGUUAGUUCGGUCUCCACUCAUGGGAAGGUGGAGUGGUGAAAUGUACUUUAAAAGCCAUUCUUCCUCGAGGACAAUUCCUCCUGGAAGGCAUAACCAACCCCUUAUCCCAAAAGUGCCCCUGGGCAAGGGGAGAAAAAAGAGGUUCCUGAGGACCCACUGCAACUCACAAGUACAUCUCACUGAGGGAAAGGCAGAUACUAUCACCCUGAUUUGACAUAAGGCAGAAAUCAAGCUCAGAGGGAUCAGGCAAUGGGCUCAGCACAUCUUACACCACAUCCAGCAGACACCAAGACUCAAGGACUCAUAAGCGUCCAACGUCCCCAACUUCUUGGGGUAAAAUAUUGUCCUGGGUUGAAGGCACCUUACAGUUUACACAUUGCUUUUCACACACAUCAUCUCACUUCACACCACAACCCUACAGGAUAGUUAAGAAUGACUUUUCCACUAUUGCAAAUUGGUUUUGGGGGUUCGAAGACCAUCAACAACUUGGGCAAGACAGUGGUAGUACUUAAGAGCUGUAUCCUGUCUAAGCUUUCUUUCCUCACCUCACAGUGCCUGAUAAAUGGGAGGGGUUCAAAGGAUAACUAUUAUUAGCAUCAUAAUCGUUCUUAAUUUAACAGACUUCAGUUAAGGUAAAAUUUAUACACACACAUACCUAUGUACUACUGCUCUCUUAAGGAUCCAACUUAAUUACUUGCUGGAGAGGAGAGUUUUACCACUACCUCAAAUUCAGAGAUAACCACUAACUGCAGCUUCCAAGAAACUGACAGAAAAGGAUUACUGAAAAUGAUGUGGUCAAAACCAAUAUGGAUUUUGGAUUCUGAAAGCCACUAAUAGAAGAGAAUAGAAGGACAGGAGCAUUCAGUUAUCGUAAAAAAAAAAAAAAAAAAAA
rnacentral:lncRNA from 1 species